rnacentral:rRNA from 1 species
CGCCCGCCGCGCGCGGCGGGCGGGGCGGGGGCACGGGGGGGUGAAGAAKUAUUUCGGUAUGUAAAGCUCUAUCGGCAGGGAAGAAAGGCCCGAAAGGGAGAUGACGGUACCUGACUAAGAAGCCCCGGCUAACUACGUGCCAGCAGCCGCGGUAAUACGUAGGGGGCAAGCGUUAUCCGGAUUUACUGGGUGUAAAGGGAGCGCAGACGGCAGUGCAAGUCUGAUGUGAAAGCCCGGGGCUCAACCCCGGAACUGCAUUGGAAACUGUACAGCUCGAGUGUCGGAGAGGUAAGCGGAAUUCCUAGUGUAGCGGUGAAAUGCGUAGAUAUUAGGAGGAACACCGGUGGCGAAGGCGGCUUACUGGACGAUGACUGAMGUUGAGGCUCGAAAGCGUGGGGAGCAAACAGGAUUAGAUACCCUGGUAGUCCACGCUGUAAACGAUGAAUACUAGGUGUUGG